GAUGAAGAACGCAGUGAAAUGCGAUAAUUAAUGUGAAUUGCAGAAUUCCGUGAAUCAUCGAGUCUUUGAACGCACAUUGCGCCUCAUGGCAUUCCGUGAGGCAUGCCCAUCUCAGCGUUAGAAAAUAUUCUCAAAUUUUAGUUUUGUGCUAAAAUUUGGAUCAUGUCAAGGAAGCUAUUACUAUUAUUGUGAUCGCUCUUUGGAAAUUGAUAGGUCUUUGAGUUGCUACUCAUAGAACGUGAUGAAUCUUUCUUCGUUCUAUUGUAAUUCACUCUGGUAGUCCUAAAACUUGUAUGCCUGUGGCAUAUCUUGUAAUUUGACCUGAGAUUGGGUAGGGAUACCCGCUGAACUUAAGCAUAUCAAUAAGAGGGGA
rnacentral:misc_RNA from 1 species